UACGAAGGAUUCGAGCGUUAUCCGGAUUUAUUGGGUUUAAAGGGUGCGUAGGUGGACUAAUAAGUCAGUGGUGAAAGCCCGCAGCUUAACUGCGGAACUGCCAUUGAUACUGUUAGUCUUGAGUACAGUUGAGGUGGGCGGAAUGUGUCAUGUAGCGGUGAAAUGCUUAGAUAUGACACAGAACACCGAUUGCGAAGGCAGCUCACUAAGCUGUAGCUGACACUGAGGCACGAAAGUGUGGGUAGCAAACAGG
rnacentral:rRNA from 1 species